rnacentral:rRNA from 1 species
UACAGAGGGGGCAAGCGUUGUUCGGAAUUACUGGGCGUAAAGGGCGCGUAGGCGGCCCGCUAAGUCGAACGUGAAAUCCCCGAGCUCAACUCGGGAACUGCGUCCGAUACUGGUGGGCUUGAAUCCGGGAGAGGGAUGCGGAAUUCCAGGUGUAGCGGUGAAAUGCGUAGAUAUCUGGAGGAACACCGGUGGCGAAGGCGGCAUCCUGGACCAACAUUGACGCUGAGGAGCGAAAGCCAGGGGAGCAAACGGG